rnacentral:rRNA from 1 species
GGGGGGGGGGGGGGGGGGGGGGAGGGGAGGCGGGGCGAGGGGAGGGCGGGGGGGGCGGGCACCUUUCAGGGGAGUGGCGAACGGGGGGGGAACACGUGGACACCCUGCCUCAAGGCUGGGGAUAACAUUUGGAAACAGAUGCUAAUACCGAAUAAAACUUAGUGUCGCAUGACACAAAGUUAAAAGGCGCUUCGGCGUCACCUAGAGAUGGAUCCGCGGUGCAUUAGUUAGUUGGUGGGGUAAAGGCCUACCAAGACAAUGAUGCAUAGCCGAGUUGAGAGACUGAUCGGCCCCAUUGGGACUGAGACACGGCCCAAACUCCUACGGGAGGCUGCAGUAGGGAAUCUUCCACAAUGGGCGAAAGCCUGAUGGAGCAACGCCGCGUGUGUGAUGAAGGCUUUCGGGUCGUAAAGCACUGUUGUAUGGGAAGAACAGCUAGUAUAGGAAAUGAUUUUAGUUUGACGGUACCAUACCAGAAAGGGACGGCUAAAUACGUG